rnacentral:rRNA from 1 species
UACGUAGGGUGCAAGCGUUGUCCGGAAUUAUUGGGCGUAAAGAGCUCGUAGGCGGUCUGUCGCGUCGGCUGUGAAAACACGGGGCUCAACUCCGUGCCUGCAGUCGAUACGGGCAGACUAGAGUUCGGUAGGGGAGACUGGAAUUCCUGGUGUAGCGGUGAAAUGCGCAGAUAUCAGGAGGAACACCGGUGGCGAAGGCGGGUCUCUGGGCCGAAACUGACGCUGAGGAGCGAAAGCGUGGGGAGCGAACAGG